AAUAGAGUUGAGAUCAAAUAAAAACCUAGCCCUUUUUUUUAAAGAAGGAAUAAAGACUACAAAAUAGGGUACUUUAACCUUGAAAACUAUUUUUCAACUGCAGGAAAAAGAAAGAGUCUUUAUCAUUACCACACAAAUGAACAGAUGAAUCCUAACUAGAGCACUACACAAGUACAAAAUAAAAGUUCAAAUUGAAGGUUAUCAAGAAUUGAACCCCUUAAA
rnacentral:misc_RNA from 1 species